CCCCAACGAACGGUCCACCACCCCCACCACCACCCCCAACGCAAGGCCCACCACCAGGUUGUCGAGAUAUUUCUACACAAUGUCACAAGCAUAAACACAAAUGCAGGACUAACUCGUAUGUCAGGAAGCGAUGUCAAAAGACAUGUGGACUUUGCGGCGGUGGAGGUGGCGGCGGAGGUUGUAAAGACGUCAACGGCRUAGUGUGUCUAAUCAACUUCUGGCAAUGUGGUUUUAAUGCCGACGUGAGAAGAAAAUGUCCCAAAACAUGUAAACUAUGUUGAGAAUGUGCUGUGUAACGUCGAUGAAUGUUGCUGUUAUAUUAAUUCUACCACUAUGUAGCCUUAUUAUURCUUUAAUAAAAUGAUUGGAUUUGUCAAGA